GUGCGAGCUUUUGAAAGAAGUCAGAGCGCCAGCGUGAGAGUGUGCCCAAGGGUGCCAGCCUCAGCCCAGAGCAGGCUGGGGAAGCUUUUCACCAUUACCACCCAUCAGCAGGCUCCCCUGUCAUGACAGAGGACAUGUCUGUGGCCUCCACGUCUGCAGAAGGGUCCCUCCUGUGUGGUCAAAAUUGCUUCGAGCAGAAAAAGCGCUUCCCAGUCUGAGUGCCGCCGGCACAGCCUCGCGCUCCAUCUCGGACCGAGACAGAGCCAUGGCCACCAGCAGGUCCUCAGACGGCGCUUCGGGCUCAGCGACCUUCCGCCUCUUCCGUGGCUCCUUCUUGGUGGCGGCUCCCUUCCGCUUCAGACCUCCGAGGGGACUGCCGAGGCUUCAGAGACAGCCAGAUGGAAAGGUGAGUGAGGCGAGAGGUGUGAGCACUUCCUGUGCUGAGAAGGAGCUGCACCCCUUCUCCUGGGGGGAUAAGUGUGGCCUGGGCAGACAGAAGCAUCAGCGGCCUCUGGGCUCAGUCACUGCGCUCACUCUGCGCCUCACGUAGGCUCGUGAUCCUGGACGGAAAGUUCAACGCAGUCCUGACAUGGCAGGUCUGGGUCCUCCUGGGUGACGCUGCCCAGCUGGGUCCUCGGGGCGCACCCGAGACGUGGCCGCCACCUUCCAGUAGAGUCAGCACUGGCUCCCAGUCAGCUCCCUGGAUCCCACCCACGGCUGCCCAGCCACACCUCAGAUGCCUCGUAGGCAGUCCCGGCCAUGCAAGGAUCUCUCCCUCCUGCAGGGGCCCAGGCCUCCACCAGGGUCAGCCGACCCAGAGGUCAACGUGUGGCAUCUCAUCUGGGUUGGAGGAGGUUACUUAAAGGGUUUUCUGGCUGCGGUGAAUCCCAAGAGGCCGGGCAGACGGGGGAGGGCACAAACCCAGGCCCGCCUUCCCUGCACUGCGGGGCCGGCCUCCUGGGAAGCACUCUGGCUCCCCUGGCCUGGGGGUGGCACCAGAAUCGCAGGGGUCACCUCAGGGGUCUAAGCUCCAGACUCCUGGGACCCUGCAUGACCACCAAAGCCUGUGCGACAGGAAGGAGCCAACCCCAUCAGGCCCUGCUGGUGGCCCUGCUGGCAGCUUUGCAGGCUGCACCUCAGGGUCCGGCGGCCAGGGCCUGGGCAGAGGGCUGCAGGCGUGAGCAGGCUGCUCUGACCAGCACAUGUGCCCUGGUGGGGGAGCUCUAACCACCCCAGAGUUGAAACGCCCCAGCCUGGCUGCCGGCUAGGCGAGGCUUAAAGUCUCAGUGAGGGUGGCGUGCUGUGGUUUUCUACUCCAACAACCUUCCGGAAGGACCCACACACAUCUUGUCUCACUUCUUGGAGGUAUUUAAAAAACAGAUUUUUUUUUUUUUUUUUUUUUUUUAUGAGCAGGUAGCUUUAGUCUAGUCCUGCCAAAAGGGCAGCAAUGGUUUAGGUAACAUCUGAGCCCUUGAUGCUCUGAUUCUCCAAGGCUAAUGCUGAUGGGCUAAAACACGGACAGGUGUGCAGCUAAGAACGGCCCCUUGCCCACCCCAGUGUCAGCACUGGCGCCACUCAAAUCACCUGCCUGAAGGGCAAUGGCCGGAGCCAACAGCCACCGCCCUCGGCCUGCACUUUGCCCUCGAGAGCUGAUGAAGGAAGGAAGUCCAGAACCUACAGCAGGCCAGGGCCAGCGCUACUUUGCUCCCUGUACCACUGGGGCCUACUCUGGCGUCCGCAGUGCAAGGGGCAAUGUGGAGGGAAGUCACCCUCUGCCACAUGUGCCAUGGUUUGCACACAGAGCACUUGUUUCUGGUUAUCAGCAAGGCCUUCUAUUUAAACACUUAAGCAUUUAUUUCAUGCAAAUUUAAAAGGCUUAAGCUUCUGUCUCACCAAGUUGAACUGUGCUGAGAAAUCUUUUUUUUUUUUUUUGUCUUUUUGCCAUUUCUUGGGUUGCUCCCGUGGCAUAUGGAGGUCCCCAGGCUAGGGGUCCAGUUGGAGCUGUAGCCACCGGCCUAGGCCACAGUCACAGCAACUCGGGAUCUGAGCCGUGUCUGCGACCUACACCACAGCUCACGGCAACGCCGGAUCCCUAACCCACUGAGCAAGGCCAGGGAUUGAACCUGCAACCUUAUGGUUCCUAGUGGGAUUCGUUAACCACUGAGCCACGACAGGAAUUCCUAUGCUGAGUAGUCUUAAAUUAAUGGUAUGAAAAUCGGACUACACUGAGCUGGAAGCCAUGCUGCCCCCCACCCACAGUGGGCACGGGGAGGAAAACCGCCGAAUUCCUAGCUGCUCAGCCUGUGGGGAAGGACCUUGAGGAAACCAGUCCAAUCCAACGGGUCCCUUUCAAAGCCUCCGAGGAUGGAGCUCUCUCUCCUCCCCAGUUCCUGUGAAGCCUAGGCCCGGUUUCCUCCUGAGAUGUUUCAUCUUCAGAAGCAGAGAGCUGCUGGCCUCCAGCACUUCCACAGGCUUUUUUAAACCAGUCAGAGUACGUUUCUUCUUUGCCCCUGACUCACCUCGGCGCGGGAGUGCUGGAGGCCCCCUCAGGCUGAGCUGUCUGCAGCCGCACGGCCUGGAGCAGGAGCUGCGGGCCAACCUCCAUCCUCGCGGCACACUGCUUCAGGUGGCUGAGCCGGCUCUUCGGGCGGAGGAACGGCUUGCCACAGAUCGGGCACUCGGGCACCUGAGGUACGGACGGCCUCAGGGCCUUUUCAGCCUCAUCCAGGCACCUGGAGGAAGACAGUAAAGGUAGAAGCCCCGCCCCCCUGGGGGUGGAUCCUGCUCUGGAUCCACGACGCACAGCACGGGCCAAGGUGCCUUCCCUCCAGGCAGCCUGCCCUUUCCCUCCAGGCAGCCUGCCCUCCGCCUCAGACACUGAACUUAGGCUUCUGUUAGCAGCAGCGUCUGAGGAAAGCAAGGGUGUAUCAGAGGCACCGUGUGACCCGCAGCUCCGCUCCGGAGUGGAUACCCCACCAGCUGAGGAGGUCCUCAGGCAGAUCCAGGAGGAGACAACCCACAGGUCCACAAGUGGGCGAAUGGAUAAGCAAGACAAAGCCCCUCCAGACAGUGGAGUGUCAUCCGACCCCCAAAGGAAAAAAGCACGGACGGGCGGACCCUGAAAACGCUCUGCUGAGGGAAGGAAGCCAGACACAAAGGCCACAUGUUGUGAGUCCGCUUAUGUCCGGAACAAGCAAAUCCACAGAGACAGACAGCAGGUUAGUGGUUGCCAGUGGCUGAGAAAAAGAGGGAAAUGGGGGUGCCUGUUAAUGGGCCUGCUAUUUUGGGGGUGAUGGCUGCACAACUCUGUGAAUACACUAAGUAACACAGCUGCACUGUUCACAGCAUAUGGAAGUUCCCUGACGGAGGGGUUGAAUGGGAGCUGUAGCUGCCGGCCUGCACCACAGCCAUAGCAACCAUAUCCGAGCCUCGUCUGCGACCCACACCACGGCUCACAGCAACGCCGGGUCCUUAACCCACUGAGUGAGGCCAGGGAUCAAACCCGCAUCCUCAUGGCUACGAGUCGGAUUCAUUUCCACUGUGCCACGAUGGGAACUCCAAAGAGAAGCAAUUUUAGCUUCACACCAACACUGAGGUGCUGCUGUCACACCAGAGUGUCUCAAGAUUCCCACCACAGCCCAGGGGCCCGAGGCUGGUCACAACCAUGGGAGAGGUGGCCACAGACGGGUGAUGGCCAGGCUGCUCCUACCGGUUCACAUGCUGCUCCCUCCGUGUCACGUUCAUGGCCGAGAGAUUCUUUUGACAGAUCUGGCAAAAGAACAACCCCUUGUCCUCCAGGCUGUCAUCUCGUGUAGGUGCCGGUUCCUGCCCAAACUCCUGCUGGAGGAUCAGGGGCACAGCAGUGUUGCUGUCUGUGGCAGGGAGCCCAGGCCCAGACCCUGUGGAGAAGCACAGGGACCCGUGAGGACCGCUCCUCCUCAGACCUCUUGGAACACAGACACCAGGCGGAGCGUGAGGAAGGCAGACCCAGCACUGCUCAGCCGCAGGUGCAGCCCCGUCUGGAAGUCCUGACACUAGGCAGUGGGGCGGGGGGGGCAGGGAGGUGGUCCUCAGAACUUUAACAGCAUAAGGACCUCCAGGAAGCUCGCAAAAUGCAGGUCCGCAGGCUGGCACUUGGGUGGUCUCGGUGGAGCCUCAGAGUCUGCAUUCUGACACCUGCAAGGCAGAGCUGCUGCUGCUGGUCCAGGACCAGCCUCUGAGCAUCAAGGUCCUGAAAAACUUGCCUUGCCUUUCACUUCCUGUUUCUGCUCAAGUCAGCAACCCGAGCAUUCCCGGUCAGCAGGGCUCCAGUCCCAACCAGCCUAUUAAGGUUUCUCUUCAAAGCUCGACCAGCUCAGAGUGAGGUGCCGCACUCGAUAUAAAAAGCAGAGGCCUCUUCUCAGCAUCAGCAGAGGAUGGACUGAUUCUGAUCGUGAGGUGGCUCCCAAGUGGCCGUGCCCACUGCGGCGGCCCUCUGUUGCACCUGACGUUGCUGGAGCAGACCUUUGACACUCACAAGGGAUAUGCCCUGAGAACUUUGUAAAAGCAGCAUACUUCAUUUUGGUCCUAUCUAUGUAUAUAUAUAUAUGUACAUUAAAAAAAAAAAAAACAAAUAAAUGGGAGUUGCUGUUGUGGCGCAGAGGAAA